rnacentral:rRNA from 1 species
UGAAUACGAGACGCUAAGGCGUCGAAGUAGUGUAUAUCAUACUUCCAAGAAAAGCUUGCAAUGUCAUAGAUAAAAAACGCCUGUACCAUAACCGACACAGGUGGGUAGGUAGAGUAUACUAAGGGGCGCGAGAUAACUCUCUCUAAGGAACUCGGCAAAAUAACUCCGUAACUUCGGAAGAAGGAGUGCCUUAUUCGUAAGGUUGCAAUAACAAGAUCCAAGCAACUGUUUAUCAAAAACACAGGUCUCCGCUAAGUCGCAAGACGAUGUAUGGGGGCUGACGCCUGCCCAGUGCCAGAAGGUUAAAGAAGUUGGUUAGCAAUUGCGAAGCUGAUAACUGAAGCCCUGGUGAACGGCGGCCGUAACUAUAACGGUCCUAAGGUAGCGAAAUUCCUUGUCGGGUAAGUUCCGACCCGCACGAAAGGCGUAAUGAUUUGGAUACUGUCUCGGAGAGGGGCUCGGUGAAAUAGACUUGUCUGUGAAGAUGCGGACUACCUGCACCAGGACAGAAAGACCCUAUGAAGCUUUACUGUAACUUGAAAUUGAAAUUGGACUUUAUUCGCGCAGUAUAGGUGGGAGGCGUUGAUUAUAAUCUUGCGGGAUUAUUGGAGCCAUCAGUGAGAUACCACUCUUGUAAUGUUAGAUUUCUAACUUUGAAUCAUUAUCUGGUCAAAGAACAGUUUCAGGCGGGCAGUUUGACUGGGGCGGUCGCCUCCUAAACGGUAACGGAGGCGUACAAAGGUUUCCUCUGAACGGUUAGAAAUCGUAUCUAGAGUGUAAAGGCAUAAGGAAGCUUGACUGUGAGACCUACAAGUCGAGCAGGGACGAAAGUCGGUCUUAGUGAUCUGACGGUACUGAGUGGAAAGGCCGUCACUCAACGGAUAAAAGUUACUCUAAGGAUAACAGGCUGAUCUCCCCCAAGAGUUCACAUCGACGGGGAGGUUUGGCACCUCGAUGUCGGCUCAUCGCAUCCUGGGGCGGUAGUACGUCCCAAGGGUUGGGCUUUCGCCCAUGAAAGCGGUACGCGAGCUGGGUUCAGAACGUCGUGAGACAGUUCGGUCCAUAUCCGGUGUAGGCGUUAGAAUAUUGAGAGGAGCCUUCUUUAGUACGAGAGGACCGAGAAGGACAUACCUCUGGUGUACCAGUUAUCGUGCCAACGGUAAACGCUGGGUAGCUAUGUAUGGAGUGGAUAACCGCUGAAAGCAUCUAAGUGGGAAGCCCACCUCAAGAUAAGUAUUCUCACC